GCGACACUAGCUCAGCUGGUAGAGCGCAACCUUGCCAAGGUUGAGGUCACUAGUUCGAACCUCGUGUGUCGCU
rnacentral:tRNA from 1 species